AUCCUUCCUGGGCAUCAGUAAAUAGGGGAACUUUUAUAUGUGACGAGUGUUGCAGUGUACAUCGGAGUCUAGGACGCCAUAUCUCCCAAGUAAGGCAUCUUAAACACACACCAUGGCCUCCAACACUGCUUCAGAUGGUUGAGACCUUGUAUAACAAUGGUGCUAAUUCUAUAUGGGAGCAUUCUUUGCUGGACCCCGCGUCUAUUAUGAGUGGAAGACGGAAAGCUAAUCCACAGGAUAAAGUACACCCCAAUAAAGCAGAAUUCAUCAGAGCCAAGUAUCAGAUGUUAGCGUUUGUUCACCGUUUGCCCUGCCGUGACGACGACAGUGUGACUGCCAAAGAUCUUAGUAAGCAACUGCAUUCAAGUGUGAGAACAGGGAACCUGGAGACCUGUCUGAGACUGCUAUCUCUAGGAGCCCAAGCCAACUUCUUUCAUCCUGAAAAAGGAAGCACUCCACUCCAUGUCGCCUCCAAAGCAGGACAGAUUUUACAGGCUGAAUUAUUGGCAGUAUAUGGAGCUGACCCAGGCACGCAAGACUCUAGUGGGAAGACUCCUGUUGAUUAUGCAAGGCAAGGAGGCCACCAUGAGCUGGCGGAGCGCCUCGUGGAGAUACAGUACGAGCUGACUGACAGGCUGGCCUUCUACCUCUGCGGCAGGAAACCAGAUCACAAAAAUGGACAGCACUUUAUAAUCCCUCAAAUGGCAGACAGCAGCCUGGAUGUGUCUGAGUUGGCAAAAGCUGCCAAGAAGAAGCUUCAGUCUCUAAGUAAUCAUUUGUUUGAAGAACUUGCCAUGGAUGUAUACGAUGAAGUUGACAGGCGAGAGACUGAUGCAGUCUGGCUUGCCACGCAAAACCACAGCACCCUGGUAACAGAGACAACCGUCGUCCCCUUUCUUCCGGUCAAUCCUGAGUACUCCUCAACACGAAACCAGGGCAGACAGAAAUUAGCUCGGUUUAAUGCCCACGAGUUUGCUACGCUGGUCAUCGACAUCCUCAGUGACGCCAAGAGGAGACAGCAGCAGGGCAGUCCUCUGUCCCGGUCACAAGAUAAUGUUGAACUCAUACUGAGAACGGUCAGUAACCAGCAUAGCACUGAAAGCCAGGACAACGACCAGCCAGACUAUGACAGUGUGGCGUCAGAUGAAGACACAGACGUGGAAACCAGAGCAAGCAAGGCACACCGGCAGAAGAGCCUAGAUUCAGAUUUGUCAGAUGGACCAGUCACUGUGCAGGAGUUUAUGGAGGUCAAAAGCGCCCUAGUGGCUUCUGAGGCCAAGAUACAGCAGCUAAUGAAGGUGAAUAACAACUUGAGUGACGAGCUGAGAAUUAUGCAGAAAAAGCUUCAAACACUCCAGUGUGAGAAUUCAAGCCUCAGGAAGCAGGCGACAACCAGUGCCUGUCAGGUACAGACUGGCCCUGACUACCCAGACACUUCGAGCCACUCGUCCUUAAAGCGCCGGCCAUCUGCCCGGGGCAGUAGGCCUAUGUCCAUGUAUGAGACUGGAUCAGGUCAGAAACCGUACCUCCCUAUGGGGGAAGCUAACCGCCCUGAGGAGGCCAGGACGAGACUUCAACCCUUCCCUGCUCAUAUUGGGAGGAGUGCACUUGUGGCCUCCUCUUCGUCUCUGCCUUCCUUCCCCUCCACACUUUCCUGGUCCAGGGACGAAAGCGCCCGAAGGCUUUGAGAGCAGCACUUAACAGCCCUGGCUCUGCAUGUUCACAGUAAUUUUCAUAAACUUAAAUGCUGGCUACAUUGAAAUCCUGUAUGCUUUUUUGACGACGGAGAAGGACUGAGUGCGUAAGUAAUUGACCCUGGGUGAUUGCCCUCUGCACUUGAGGAGCGCUUGCUGAGCACUUGGUGGGUGUGCGGCUCCCUCUUCUGAGGUUCUUAAACAGCGUGGCACUUGUGAUCAUUGUGGGUAAUGUAUUCAGUUUCUGAUUGCCAUCUUGACACCAGGGAAAGCACAAUUAUCUCUUAUAGAGACACAUGGGAUUCCAGGAGGCAGGAGGAUUACAAGUUUAAGGCAAACUGAGCUACAUAGCAGGACUCACUCUUAUCUCAAAACCCAAAAUACAAGGUGCAAAGGAUAUUAAUCCUGUCUUCUAGAUUUUUCCUCCCAUGAGAGCAGCUCUGAGUGGACUAUCCAGCACAAUUGAAAUGGUGUGUGUGUGUGUGUGUGUGUGUGUGUGUGUGUGUGUGUGUGUGUGUGUAUUUGAUAUUUGAGAAAAAAUAAAGAUUAGUCAGACAUUCCCUGUAAAAGGUAAGAAAGGUCUUGGGGUGGUGGAAUUCUAAGAUCAGGUCCUCAAGCCUCUGCUUUCACUGCCCCUGCACUAAAUAUGGUUGGGGCCCCCUCUGCCUACUGCCAGGGCUUCUAGUGUCAGUAAUCCACUGACUUGAGCCAGUGAGCAGGCACUUAAGAACUCAGCUUUAAUCUCAUGGGGUUCCAAGCCAGCACCCGUCAUUUAUCAGAUGAGUUGGAAUGGAUAAGAAAGUUUGUAUUAGGAAGCCAACCCUGGUGUCUUCUGUAGAAAGGGAGAGAGGAAGUCCAGGAGGAAAUGUGAAGGACCUCAGCAGACAGGCAGGCAGGCAGACAGACAGACAGAAAGCAGAGUGUGGUGGGACUGAGGAGGCACCCAACCUUGGAGCUGGCCAAACCACAAACCGUAUGUAGACUUCCUCAAACCAGCCUCCUCUAGCAGCCAUCUUCUGGAUGUGUCUAAGCAAAGCUUUAGGGCUGCAGCCUUUGCCACACUGCCACACCAGUUCAGUCCCCUGGCUGUGCACGGCUGGAAACAGGCAAUCAGUAAUCAGUGUAGGUUUUGCAUCGGCUUAUGCUCAUUUCUAGAUAAGGGAUUGUCACACACGGUAAGAUGAACACCGAGAGAUGGUUUCUCCACAUGGUCUAGACCAGAUUCCUCCAGAAGAUGUGGUCCUCACCACGUCUUGUCACACUGAGAGCCCCUGCCUUUAAUGGUACUGCCAUUCCCUUGCAAUGUUUCAUGUUUGAAUCUCCAGCCCAUUUUGAACAUUCUCGGUUAUACCAAAUCCCUGCAUCUUUCUGAGGUAAAUAUUUUGGAAAACAGGUAAAGUGGUGUGGAACUAAGAGUCACACUGGGCCGAUCCACUUGGUUCACAAGCAGCACAUGGCUGGCUUUCUUAAUGGCUCACAAAAACCAUCCCUGAAGGCAGUUCUUAGAGCAGCCAUCAGACUUACCAAGCGUGUAGUAACGUGGGAAUCUGCAGAAGGCUUGAGGCCUGACUCUUGUUUCCUCCUGCAGAUUCUGCCUAAGGGUGAGCAGCUAGCUCUUGGUCCUUUUCCUCAUCUGGUGUUAAACCAGAUCAUUUACAGUUAGCUUCCAGCUCUGAAGGUGUGGGUUCAGAUAAGUACUGGUGUGUUUGUUACUAACUGCAUCUCCUUCCAUUCUGUUGAGAACUAAAUGAGAGGUUUGAGUGUGUGCCUGUGUCAGAGCGUGUCUCUUCAGGGAGCCGCUGGUGAGCUAAGGAGGAGUGGACCCAGUAUUCAUUCAUCUUUUGCUACAUUUCCUGUAAAGGGCUGGCUCCUGUCUCAAAUGAGCUCUGGGCAUCCAGGCUGGAGAAGCAGAACAGCACACCAGAGAGUGACUAUGACAACACUCCCUAUGGCACUGAGCCAGAUGACACAGUGUCAAACCGGAAGGGGCGGCAAAGGAGUAUGGUGUGGCAAGGUGAUGGCUCAUUGCCAG